UACGGGGGGGGCAAGCGUUGUUCGGAAUUACUGGGCGUAAAGGGCUCGUAGGUGGCCAACUAAGUCAGACGUGAAAUCCCUCGGCUUAACCGGGGAACUGCGUCUGAUACUGGAUGGCUCGAGUUUGGGAGAGGGAUGCGGAAUUCCAGGUGUAGCGGUGAAAUGCGUAGAUAUCUGGAGGAACACCGGUGGCGAAGGCGCAUCCUGGACCGGCAUUGACGCUGAGGAGCGAAAGCCAGGGGAGCAAACGGG
rnacentral:rRNA from 1 species